CCUACGGGAGGCAGCAGUGGGGAAUAUUGCACAAUGGGGGAAACCCUGAUGCAGCAACGCCGCGUGAGUGAAGAAGUCAUUCGUGAUGUAAAGCUCUAUCAGCAGGGAAGAAGAUGACGGUACCUGAGUAAGAAGCCCCGGCUAACUACGUGCCAGCAGCCGCGGUAAUACGUAGGGGGCAAGCGUUAUCCGGAUUUACUGGGUGUAAAGGGAGCGUAGACGGAUAGAUAAGUCUGAAGUGAAAUGCCAGUGCUCAACACUGGAACUGCUUUGGAAACUGUGAAUCUAGAGUGCGGGAGAGGUAAGUGGAAUUCCUAGUGUAGCGGUGAAAUGCGUAGAUAUUAGGAGGAACACCAGUGGCGAAGGCGGCUUACUGGACUGUAACUGACGCUGAGGCGCGAAAGCGUGGGGAGCAAACAGGAUUAGAUACCCUAGUUGUC
rnacentral:rRNA from 1 species